UCUAUGUAUAAUAAACAAUUGACAGAUGAACUGACAGAUAUUUUAUGUAAACAGGCAAAAUCUCUGCAUCUGAUGAUGGCCGUGUGUUUUCGCCGAUCAUAACUGGUUUAACUCUUGGCUCCUUUGAGAUCAAUAUGACUUCUGCCAAAUCAAAUGUGCCGGCAAAUUGCAAAAUCUCUGCAUCUGAUGAUGGCCAUGUGUUUUCGCCGAUCAUAACUGAUUCAAGCUCCUUUGAGAUCAAUAUGACUUCUGCCAAAUCAAAUGUGCCGGCAAAUUAUCAUCAAAGGUUUCUGAAAGCAAACACCAGUCAGUUGGUUAAAAAAAGUGAAG